GGGCGGGGCUACAGGCUUGUGGGCGGUGCUUGUGAUCUGUGGGCGGGGCCACGGGGUUGUGGGCGGUGCUUCAUACCUGUGGGCGGGGCUACAGUGUAGUGGGCAGUGCUUCUGAUCUGUGGGCGGGGCCACGGGGUUGUGGGCGGUGCUUCGGAUCUGUGGGCGGGGCUACAGUGUAGAGGGCGGUGCUUCAGACCUGUGGGUGGGGCUACAGUGUAGUGGGCGUUGCAUAUGAUCUGUGGGCGGGGCUACAGGGAUGUGGGCGGUGCUUCUGAUCUGUGGGCGGGGCUACAGGCUUGUGGGCGGUGCUUCAGACCUGUGGGCGGGGCUACAGUGUAAUGGGCGGUGCUUCAUACCUGUGGGCGGGGCUACAGGGGUGUAGGCGGUGCUUCUGACCUUUGGGCGGGGCUACAGGCUUGUGGGUGGUGCUUUGGAGGGGUGGCCUUGGCGUGGUGGGCGUGGCUAUGCAAAUGUGCCGCUGUUCUAAUUAGCGUUUCUCUUCCCCCAGCAUGCUGCAGCCCGUGCCGAAGGCGGAGCCCCGCGCCGUCCUCCUCCUCAACACCCCCCGCCCCACGCAUGGGGGGCUGCCCCUCGGCCCCGCCCCCCUCCUCGUUAGCCCCGCCCCUUCCGCUUCGAGCCCCGCCCCCUCCACCAUCACCGUGGCGACGGCCGGCGUGGCUGUGGGGAACCCCGGGGGGGGGCAGGGGGUGACGAGCAACACCCAGGGGGUGACGGUGACCCCCCAGGGGGUGACGCUGACCCCGCAGGGGGUGACGCUGACCAACCAAGGGGUGACGUUGACCCCCCAGGGGGUGACGCUGACCAAUCAGGGGGUGGCUUUGCCGGGGCAAGGGGUGACCCCGGUGACGGUGACCCCCCAAGGGGUGGCGGUGACCCCUCAGGGGGUGACCCUGACCCCCCAGGGGGUGACGGGGGCGGCACAAGGGGUGACGGUGACCCCCCAGGGGGUGGCCAUGAGCAGCCAAGGCCUGACGGUGACGCCGGUGGGGGUGGCCCUGACCAGCCAAGGCUUGACCUUGGGCACCCAGGGGGUGACGGUGACCCCCAUGACGCCCACCGGGGUCACCCUGGCGGCGCCCGGGGUGACGGUGACCCCCACAGCGGUGACGGUGACCCCCACGGCCCCGCAGGCGCUGGGCUUGGGGUUGGGAUUGACGUUGGCCCCGCCCCGGGCCACGCCCCCUGCGACUCUAUUGGCUACGCCUGCUUCUGGCCCCGCCCACGCCCCGCCCCCAGGCUCUCAGCCCCGCCCCCCGGCUCCGAGCCCCGCCCCCUCGAAGCCAGGCUCCGCCCCUUUGGCCGCCUUUGCUCUUCCUGUUCCCGGAGCGCAGCGCCUCCUGCUGGCCCCCGAGCUCACGGCCCGCCUGCCCUGUGAGUCCCAAAAUCGCCCUUUUUCACCCCAAAAUCCCAUUACCCAUUA
rnacentral:lncRNA from 1 species